rnacentral:lncRNA from 1 species
UCUUCAGGGUCUUUCCGCGGCCCCAGGCACGCCCUGCUUGGCUCGAACCCCUCCCCGAUCCAGGGCCUCCCCGCCCCACCCCCUUGGGCUUAUCCCAAGCCUCGUCCCCCGAGCACUGGGUUUGUGGGGCCCCAGUGCUGAACGAGGGGAGUCUGCCGGGUGGAGAAGUGGCUUCCUCUGCCCCUUGGGCCGGGCCGCUGCCUGCGCCUCCUCUCUCUUUCCCUUUUCCCUUCUCUCUGCCUUCAGGCCCAGAAAUGCAUCUUUAAGACCAGGGUCGCCCAGCCCUGGCGCUGCCGGGCCGUAGCGGGGAAUUCUCCGUGGGGGCUGCCCAUGUGCCGUGGGGCGGUUGGCAGCAGCCUCUGGCCCCCCAGAGUGACCACUGAAAAUGUGUCCAGGCACUGUGCCACGUGCGAGCCACCCCCGGCACCGUGCACUGGGGAGUGGUGAGGACCUUUCAAGAGACUGUGACCUGGAUCUAAGAGCGUGUCCUCACCUCAGUCCUCUGCCUCGCGGGCUGCGCUCCACGCAGACAGGACAGGACACCCCAGGGCAGGAGGAUAAACACGAGCGAGGAGAGUCGUCUGCCCAGGAGAAUGCGCCCCCCCACCCCCCACCCCCGCAGCCCCAGCUUGAGAACAGUCCUCCUGGGUCGUGGGACAGACGAGG